rnacentral:miRNA from 1 species
UUUGCAGGUUUUAGGUCUAAGU